rnacentral:lncRNA from 1 species
UUAAACCUUAGCACAAAAACAAACUCCAUGAUGAAAUGAAUUUGGAUGUUAUGCUGCGGUACAUAGUGAUGAUAAUCAUAUAAAUAAGAUAUUUUUCAUUUCAUCCAAAACCUAUUUUGUUUUCAUUAUCAAAAAAAAAUUCUCACCCAUUCCAUCCAUAUCUUUCUCUUUUUACUACAUUAAAGUCUGAACAUGCCUUAUAGGUAGAUAUGUGUAUGUGACCAUUUAAUUCUGUUUCAUUAAUGGUUGUCAGGUGACCUUAAGUUUCUUUUUAAGAUAUCUAGAAGCUUUGAUUCCGAUUUCUUUUUGGAAAAGAAAAUAUAGUUGUGAUAUUAAUGACGACUAUGAAUCCAUGACAUCACUGAUGAUUAUAGAGUCACGUGUUAUGAAAGUCAAUAAUACUGCCAAUAUCAACUAUUCAACCUAAUUGUAUUGUUAAGGUUUGAUUUCAUAAAUUUAAAUGACGAAACAAUAGAGACGGGAAAAAGUACCGACGUGGUCUUGCUAUUUAUGGAACUUAAUUUAAUUUGAUUGAUAGGAGUAUAAGAACAUGAUUAAUGGAAUUCUUAUGGCAUCUCCAUCUUUACUCCAUUUUUUCUUCUAAAUUG